rnacentral:rRNA from 1 species
UGGGGAAUUUUGGACAAUGGGCGAAAGCCUGAUCCAGCAAUGCCGCGUGUGUGAAGAAGGCCUUCGGGUUGUAAAGCACUUUUGUCCGGAAAGAAAUCCUCUGGGUUAAUACCUCGGGGGGAUGACGGUACCGGAAGAAUAAGCACCGGCUAACUACGUGCCAGCAGCCGCGGUAAUACGUAGGGUGCAAGCGUUAAUCGGAAUUACUGGGCGUAAAGCGUGCGCAGGCGGUUUUGUAAGACGGAUGUGAAAUCCCCGGGCUUAACCUGGGAACUGCAUUCGUGACUGCAAGGCUAGAGUAUGGCAGAGGGGGGUAGAAUUCCACGUGUAGCAGUGAAAUGCGUAGAGAUGUGGAGGAAUACCGAUGGCGAAGGCAGCCCCCUGGGCCAAUACUGACGCUCAUGCACGAAAGCGUGGGGAGCAAACAGGAUUAGAUACCCUGGUAGUCCACGCCCUAAACGAUGUCAACUAGUUGUUGGGGAUUCAUUUCCUUAGUAACGUAGCUAACGCGUGAAGUUGACCGCCUGGGGGAGUACGGUCGCAAGAUUAAAACUCAAAUGAAUUGACGGGGUCAUAGCUGUUUCCU